UACGUAGGGCGCAAGCGUUGUUCGGAUUCAUUGGGCGUAAAGGGUGCGUAGGUGGCGCUGUAAGUCGGGUGUGAAAUUUCGGAGCUUAACUCCGAAACUGCAUUCGAUACUGCGGUGCUUGAGGACUGGAGAGGAGACUGGAAUUCAUGGUGUAGCAGUGAAAUGUGUAGAGAUCGGGAGGAACACCGGUGGCGAAGGCGGGUCUCUGGGCAAUUCCUGACGCUGAGGCGCGAAAGCGUGGGGAGCAACCGGG
rnacentral:rRNA from 1 species